UGUCAAGCUACAAAGGGCUCACGGUGAAUACCUUGGCACGCAGAGGCGAUGAAGGACGUGACUACCUGCGAUAAGUCUCGGGGAGCGGGAAGUAAGCUUUGAUCCGGGAAUUUCCGAAUGGGGCAACCCUGGGGCAACCCAACGGCUAGCUGAAUCCAUAGGCUAGUUCGAGCCAACCCAGCGAACUGAAACAUCUUAGUAGCUGGAGGAAAAGAAAGUAAAAACGACUCCCUCAGUAGCGGCGAGCGAAGCGGGAUCAGCCUAAACCAAUCAUUUCGAUGGUUGGGGUUGUGGGACAGCAAUGUGGACCAGGAAUUCUAGAAGAAGCGUUUGAAUGACGCACCAUAGAGGGUGAUAGUCCCGUACUCAAAAGAUAAACUGGCCUAGCUGUAUCCCGAGUAGCACGGAGCACGUGAAAUUCCGUGUGAAUCUGCGAGGACCACCUCGUAAGGCUAAGUACUACUGCGUGACCGAUAGCGUACAGUACCGCGAGGGAAAGGUGAAAAGAACCCCAGGAGGGGAGUGAAACAGAACAUGAAACCGUGAGCCUACAAGCAAUGGGAGCCCGACUAAUCGGGUGACCGUGUGCCUGUUGAAGAAUGAGCCGGCGACUUAUAGGCACUGGCAGGUUAAGAGGACAAUCUCGGAGCCACAGCGAAAGCAAGUCUGAAUAGGGCGAUCGUCAGUGUUUAUAGACCCGAACCCGGGUGAUCUAACCAUGGACAGGAUGAAGCUUGGGUGACACCAAGUGAAGGUCCGAACCGACUGAUGUUGAAAAAUCAGCGGAUGAGCUGUGGUUAGGGGUGAAAUGCCAAUCGAACCCGGAGCUAGCUGGUUCUCCCCGAAAUACAUUGAGGUGUAGCGUCUAGUGCUUAAGCAGGGGGGUAAAGCCACCGUUUCGGUGCGGGCUGCGAGAGCGGUACCAAAUCGAGACGAACUCUGAAUACCCUGUGUGUAACUAGGCAGUCAGACCGUGGGGGAUAAGCUUCAUGGUCAAGAGGGAAACAGCCCAGACCGCCAGCUAAGGUCCUUGAGUCACUACUAAGUGGUAAAGGAGGUAAGAUUGCAUAGACAACCAGGAGGUUUGCCUGGAAGCAGCCAUCCUCAAAGGAGUGCGUAAUAGCUCACUGGUCGAGCGAUCUUGCGCCGAAAAUGAACGGGACUAAGUAGUGUACCGAAGCUGCGGAUUCUUUGAAUGGUAGGGGAGCGUUCUAUGUGGGUUGAAGCGUUAGCGAAAGCGGGCGUGGACUGCAUAGAAGUGAGAAUGUCGGCUUGAGUAGCGAAAACGUAGGUGAGAAUCCUAUGCCCCGAAACCCUAAGGGUUCCUCUGUUAAGCUCGUCUGCAGAGGGUUAGUCAGGACCUAAGGCGAGGCCGAAAGGCGUAGUCGAUGGACAACAGGUCAACAUUCCUGUACUGGUUGCUGUUUGGGCAGGUGGACGGAGAAGGCUAAGCGAUCCGGAUGUUGGUUACCGGUUCAAGCGCUCAAGGCUUUGAAGAGCGGUGAAAACGCUCUGAGCUAAGGCGUGAGUACGAGUUCUUACGAGAGCGAAGUCGCUGAUGUCAUGCUUCCUAGAAAAGACCUUAGUCCGUUAAGCAGUAACUACCUGUACCCGAAACCGACACAGGUGGGGUGGUAGAGUAUACUAAGGGGCGCGAGUUAACUCUCUCUAAGGAACUCGGCAAAAUGGCCCCGUAACUUCGGGAGAAGGGGUGCCACCGUCAGGUGGCCGCAGUGAAGAGUCCCAGGCGACUGUUUACCAAAAACACAGGUCUCCGCUAAGUCGCAAGACGACGUAUGGGGGCUGACGCCUGCCCAGUGCCGGAAGGUUAAGGAAGCCGGUCAGCGUAAGCGAAGCUGGCGACUGAAGCCCCGGUGAACGGCGGCCGUAACUAUAACGGUCCUAAGGUAGCGAAAU
rnacentral:rRNA from 1 species